rnacentral:lncRNA from 1 species
AGCUUUAUAACUUUCCAAUCUUAAGGUAAGCAUAUAAGUCCCUUUGUACCUUAAGUUGGCCUCUUCAUGGGUUUGUCCUUAAAGGAACUAUAACUUUCCAAUCUUAAGGUGGACAUAUACGUCCCUUUGCACCUUAAGUUGGCCUCUUCAUGGGUUUGUCCUUAAAAGGAACUAUAACUUUCCAAUCUUAAGGUGGACAUAUAAGUCCCUUUGCACCUUAAGUUGGCCUCUUCGUGGAUUUGUCCUUAAAAGGAACUAUAACUUUCCAAUCUUAAGGUGGACAUAUGAGUCCCUUUGCACCUUAAGUUGGCCUCUCCGGUAGUCGGGCCAUUUUGAGAGUAAUCUCUCCAAGAAUUGGGCCACAUUGAGAGUAAUCUCUCCAAGAAUCGGGCCAUUUUGAGAGUAAUCUCUCCAAGAAUCGGGCCAUUUUGAGAGUAAUCUCUCCAAGAAUUGGGCCACAUUGAGAGUAAUCUCUCCAAGAAUGGAGCCAUUUUGAGAGUAAUCUCUCCAAGAAUCGAGCUAGUUUGAGAGUAAUCUCUCCAAGAAUCAGGCCAUUUUGAGAAUAAUAUC